UCGAGUGAAGAGACUAACCAUUGGAUACUGCACUGUGUAUGAGGUACAUAAAAUUGAUGACACUUCUGCUCCUGCUAAAAUUGAAUCAGAUGAACAACAGUUGCCCUUAUCAUCACCAAAUAGUAGUGGUUUACUCAAGCAACUAAUGAUAUCAUUGACUGUACAAAUGAUUAAUAGUGAAUAUGAGGUGAUU